GGGGAGGCCUCAACUUCCGGGUUCCCGUCCGGUCCCUCGGGCUUCCGCCCCCGGGCCCAGCUGUGGAUCCUGCAGAGCUGAUGUGAUAUGAAGCUUUGAGUGACGUGAAGGAAGCAGAAGUCAUUGUCCAGGAGGAAGAUUCUUCCCAGGGAGGAAGGUGGCAGCAGGCCCGGAGCAAACCUGAAGACCUGGGUACAGCUGCUUCUCUGGCCACGCGGGGCCAUCCGUGGCCAGCGUCUCUGCCAGGCUCUGGGUCCCUUGAGUCAAAACCAAAUGCUGGAACCGUCGGGGCUCCCCUUCCAAUCCCACUUCAGAAGAAAUACAAGGUCAGCCAGGCUGCCCUGCCCACCAGACCCUUCCCUUCAACAGGGGCGGCAGGCAGUCCCCCAACCCGAGAUGAGCCUCCGCUGGAAAGAUGGAGAACCUCUUCUUUCUCCUCCAGCCUGCCCUUGCCCCCCCCCCAGCACGGGUUUCCUGUGGUGAAGGCCGUUGAUGGGCCCGCCCGGGGCCUGGGGCCACUUUCAGAAGCCAAUUCACGUGUCCGAUCGGCAU